UCGGAGGAAGGUGUGUAUGACGUCAAGUCAUCAUGCCCCUUAUGUCCAGGGCUUCACGCAUGCUACAAUGGCCGGUACAAAGGGCUGCGAUCCCGUAAGGGGGAGCGAAUCCCAGUAAGCCGGUCGUAGUCCGGAUUGGAGUCUGCAACUCGACUCCAUGAAGUCGGAAUCGCUAGUAAUCGCGAAUCAGAAUGUCGCGGUGAAUACGUUCCCGGGCCUUGUACACACCGCCCGUCACACCAUGGGAGUGGGUUGUACCAGAAGUAGGUAGCUUAACCUUCGGGAGAGCGCUUACCACGGUAUGAUUCAUGACUGGGGUG
rnacentral:rRNA from 1 species